rnacentral:rRNA from 1 species
UGCCAGCAGUCGCGGUUAAACCAAGAAAUUUAGUCAUUCUUUUACGGUAAAAAGACAGUUAGGCAAAUAUAAGUGAAAUUAUUGGAUCUUUAGUAAAGGAGUAAAAUCUGAAUACUAAAAGUUAUACCAGAUAUAGUUUAUUUAAGAUGUUGAAUCUGUGACAGCUUUAAGGGAAACUGGGAUUGGAUACCCCAUUAUUUUUAGUUAUAAAUUUAGUUUAAGCUUACCAGAGUACUACGAAUAAAAAGUUUAAAACUCAAAGGGCUUGGCGGUGUUUUAGACCUCUCAGGGGAACCUGUCUCAUAAUCGACAAUCCACGUUAAACCUAACCUUUUGUAGUAAUACAGCUUGUAUACCGUCGUCGUCAGGUAACUUCUUAAAAUAUAGUAGUUAGCUUGAUAAUUUGAUUAAUUAAAACGUCAGAUCAAGGUGCAGCUAAUGAAAAGGUGAGGAUGGGUUACAAUUACAUAUUUGUAAAUACGGAAAAAUGCUUGAAAUGAAGUAUCUUAAAGGAGGACUUGAAAGUAAUUUUGAUUAUAUAAGCAGAAUGAAUAAGGCUCUGAAACGUGCACACAUCGCCCGCCGCUCU